UUCAGUGUAAUAUGUUCUCACACAUGGCUUUUCUUAAGGUCCUCCUGUGUUUCUUCCUAAUUGCGGAAUCAACAGCUCUUCAGCUGGAUGUUCAGGCGAAGCUUGGAGAUGAUGUCAGUCUUCAGUGUCAGAUUUCCAGAGAUGAAAUAAUUUCAGUGCUGAAGUGGAGCAGACCUGAUCUGAACACAGACGGCUACGUCUACUUCUACAGGAACAAACGCUCCUAUGAAAACUACCAACAUCCAUCUUUUCAUGGCCGAGUGAAGCUGAGGGACCCGGAGAUGAAGGAUGGAGACGUUUCUCUGAUCCUGAAGAAUGUCACGUUUAAUGACACUGGGAUUUAUGAGUGUCACAUAGCAGUGAGGAACCCAGUGAGAAGAAAAAGAGGUUGUCAGUGGCAAGACAUUUUUAAACAUUGAAAGAAUACAGAAACAGUCAGAGUUUUGUUCAGAGAACUACGUGCGCACGGGUGAGUGAUCGGGUGAUUCUCACCCCGAGGCUUUGCAGUCAGCUUUAUUUAUACAUCGUAGCAUUCCCUGUUUUUCAGGCUGUAACAGACAAUCUGGGCAUGUAUGGGACACAGUGUGUGUGUGUGUGUGUGUGAGUGUAUUGUCUAUCUCGAGGAAAACAGAAGCCAGUUGGGUCCUGUUUCCAAGGGUGUCUGCAAGAGACUUUCACAGGAGUCAGCGAUUACUGCAGGGCUCAUGUGUAUGUGUGUGAGAAGAAGCAAAGACAAAACAUAAAGAUAUGUGAACACUAUGUGCUUUCCAAGCCUUUCUUAACAGGAGCAUAUGAGUAAAUGAGUAAAUGGAACAUUAUAAGGAGAACUGAGUAAAUGAAACAUUAAAAAGGAAGAUGUAUCAAAAAGGAAAAACAUCAUAAAAUCACAAAAUCCCUUAACAGAGGUCAUACUGAGAUCAGUCACUUCAUCAACCUCAGAGUCACAGGUGAAACCCAUAACAGCAUGUUUGAGCAGCCCAUCGCAGAUGGAGAACAUGGAGGUGGAAACAUGCAUUUUGUUCCAGAGGAAGAAACUCCAACUAUCAUGAUGGUUUUUCCUGCUGUUGUUGCUGCUGUUGUUGCGGCUGUCCUUCUUGUUACUAUCGGUGGUUCUGUGCUACUGUGGAGGUUUAAAAUAAAGAAACAGCAGACUUCUGAGGCAGCCACAGCUGAUCUGAAAUGUCCUGCUCCUAAAAUUUAGAAAUGAAACACGUUUCACAGAGUGGAUAGUCUCUCAGCACAUCAGAAACAAGUUUGCUUGCGGAGCAAACUGUGCAUGGAGCAUGCUAUCACCAUCACCUUUCAGAGGUGGAUGCUUGUCAUCAACUACAGCUCAGUGUCCAACACCAUCAUUCCAGACAUCCUCACCACCAAACUGGAUCACCUUCAGAUCACCCUGCCACCUGUUCAUGGAUCAAAGACUUCCUCACCAACAGUCCCAAUCUGUGGAAUUUGUCUCUACCUUCAGGUUUCUGAGCUCUAACAUCACCGCUGAUCUCACCUGGACCCACAACACCAACGCUCUGGUAAAGCUGGCCCAGCAGUGGCUGUCCUCGUCCAUGUCUUGAGGAAGAAUAACCUGGACCCAAAGCUGCUGCUGGCCUUUUACUGGUCCUUAGUGCAGAGCGUGCUCUUCUACAGUCUGGGUGUUUUGUACACAGAAGCCACAAAUGAGAAUAGGAAGGCUAUACAGAGGGUAAUUAGCACCACCCAAAAAAUUAUUUCCUGCCCUCUGCCACUCCUGGAGACCAUCACCAGAUCCUCCUGUGUCACAAAAACCAGGGUCAUCACAGGUGACCCCUUGCACCCCAACCGCCACCUGCAUGACCCGCUGCCCUAUGGUUGGCUCCACAGGUCAAUCAGGUCCCCCACCUCCAGACUUACUAAGAGCUUCUUUCUCUCAGUCAUUCAGACUGCUAACAAACACAGUGUAUACAUGCGAUCACAAUAAAAGGCUAUUCUAGUCUGUUCUGUUCUAUUCUACAUUCUUAUAGCAUUAACUCUUUUAAAUAAAAGCAGUAAACGAUCUCAGGCAAAACUUACUGGAAAGUUGCUAAAGACAGUUUUGAACAUACCCUGAAAAGAAACAGUUAGCUGUGUUAAGUGACAGUGACAACUCCUCAGUAAACUAUGCUAUCUUAAGGCUACGUCCACACUAAUGCGUUUUCAGUUGAAAACGCAUCGUUUUAUCUCCAUUUUGCCCUCCCGUCCACACUGAGACGGCAUUUUUGCUCAAGGAAAAUGCAGUGUUUUGAAAACGCUCUCGAAAACCCAGACUUUCAAAAACGCUGACGUAAUUUAGUCAUAUGAUGCAGUCAUGGAGCAGUUCAACUAAAAUUACGGACAGCAUCGUACAGCAGUUGUUUUGUUUUGUUCUCAAUUUUGCCAGCUCUAAUUAGGAUUAAUAUGUUUUACAUGCUCCAGAUACCUUUUCUUCAACUUCUUUAAUUCUCACUUGCUUUUGCAACUUUGUACUUUUGUGUUACUCGCAGCAACAACUCCACCUCAAUGUCAGUCCAUUAAAAAACACUUGGUGGUUUCCUCGACAUUUUGCCACGACGUUUCAAAGAGCCAGAAAGUAAAUAAAAGGCAGACAGAAAUGACGCUGGUUGAAUGGUCUUAGAUUUCACGCAUGCGCAAUACAGGAAUGUAAGCGUUUUCAGCCAUUUCAGUGUGAAUGCGCAACCGUUUGAAAAUGAUUGAAAACGUUAGUUGCACUGGAUGCCGUUUUCAAAUCUAUCUGGGCUAGUGUGGACGUAGCCUAAGAAUCGCAGCACAACCCUUCUCACUUUGAGGUGGCAAUUCUAACCAUUGUAAGAUCAGCCCACCCCGACAUACCUGCUCACCUCAAAGCAGAAAACAGGUUAACUGAACACCCACACAUUUUGUUGCCAAAUGAGGAGAAAUGAAAGGAAAAGGCACCCCACAUGAAAUCUUUAUCAAAUCAAACAUUUGGAGGUGUUUUUAUUAUCAAUAUAUUCAUUGUGUGUGGUACAAUCAUUUUGGGUAAUUUUCACACAACAAAAGAGUCUACACAAGGAAGAUAUACAUUAUUUUAUUUACAAAAUUUGCAAACAGAAAAUAUUCAGUAAUUUAAAUAACAUUCAGUUACUAUUAUUUAUUUAUGUAUUUAUUUUUAUUUUAUCAGGAAGUAUGUAUAAAACUAAAUAAUACAGUCACACAAAUAAAGAAAUACAACUAUAUUAAAAGAAGAUUGGAAACUAAACUAGAACUAGAAAUUCGACUGGAAAAAAGAACUAUAAAAGAAAAAUAAAUACCAUCUAUUUGGUGCUCAACAACAUUAGUCUUCCCCAAUGGAGAGGGAGUACGUAAUCAGUUUUAUUUUGGUGAAAAUCGGGUCAAGAUCGCAACAUAUGAGAAAAAUCAGUGGUUUCAAUUGCUGAAAUAUUAGGGAAGAUUGCUUUGUCAACUUCAGUGUUCAUUUUAAUUUUUCUUUUUUGAUACACAGUGCAAAUAAAACAAAAAAUAAUAAAACCUCUAUCCUGCUACCAAAACACAGAGAAACAAGAAGACUUUCCUUUUUUCUGUCACAUAAACUAAUAGCAUAGAGGAGGCCUUCUCUCAAGUAAUUAAAAUAAAAAAAAAAUCCAUAAAUCCCUGUGACUAUUUUUUUUUAAGCAUCAACCAAAGUUUGAUCAGAAAACUUCUCCCACUCAUUGAAUGUCUUGCAAACGAUUGGUGGUGAUGCAUCACCUUUUUUGUGUUUUCUUUUCUUUUUUGUUUGUUUUUUUAAAUCCUGUGAUUAAUCAUGUGAGUGACAAACUGACAAAUAUUCUGUAAUCUGAGAACACAAAGAGCAAACCUCUUUUAGAGAACAAUACACAUUUUGAAAUCCUUUAAAAAAAUGUGUCACAAUAUCAGCUGAUGAACGACACCUCAGGUCUUACAGCAACAAAAUCAUCUGUGUACACACUUUAGGAAUUUUGUUUCAUCAUAUCUGAAAAAAAAAACUUCCCACCUGACCCUUCAGAACCAGCUGAUGUUUUGCACAGUAACAAGGCAAACAUUUCCCAAUAUUUCAGAACAUGGGCUGUUAUAUGCAGUUUUUGUCCUACUAUACCAUAUAUACAUGUGAAAUUCUCAGGGUAGGAAUUCACAUUUAAGCUCUGUUCAUAAAUUUUCUGGAUUAACUUAUUCUGAAACUGACAAUCAGGAUAUACAGUCACACAAGUUAACUCAGUGUUUCUCUUGCACUUUCACAUGAAAGGGGUGAUGUUGGCAGCAUCUGACUAAUUUAAAAAAGGGGGCUUUUCACAGUAUAUGAAAUCUAAUGAUGAUUAAAUAGGGAUUAAAAAUACAUAAAGAACAUUUUAAAAAAAAUUGCAACAAAGACAAAAAAGACAAUCUGCAAGAAGAAAACAAGGUAUUGAUGCUGCAGAGAAUCUAUAUUCGUGUGAUUUAUCUCACAAAGUAGUAAAAAUGUAAUUGUCCUCCUGCACAGACUCCCUUAUUUUAGUUUAUCUCUUGUUCUUCAGUUCAUUUUAGUUUUAUUUAUAUAACAUCAAAUCAUAAUAACUAUUGCUUUAAGAUGGUUUAUGUUGUGAGGUAAAGACCCUACAAUAACACAUUUAACAAUGCAUUUGUCCAUCUUUCUGUCUUCCUGUAUGUGUAUGUGUCUGUGAGGUAACCACACCUUGUGUUCAAGGGGUGGUCCUGCUGCUUCCUGCUCUUCAGGUCCAUGCACUUGGGGUGAUUAACUCACCUGUGGGUAAUUGUGUGAUCUGAUUGUUAGACUUACAACAAUUAUUGAAUUGGCACUUCUGAAACUUGCACGUAUUGUAUGCUUUGGCUCUGUGAUCUUACCUUCUGUUCUGCUUUCUGCAAGAAACCUGGAUGCUGUAAAUGAGUUACCUUGAGAGAGCAUUUGUGGAGCUGUCUAAAUCAGAGCAUUUGUAACUGCAAACUCCUCUUGCUGUUGUUAGAAAUGGUUUUCUCUCUAAAUAAAUGCAUUGAUCAUUUAAUUCUCAGUCU